AGCGAACGCUGGCGGUAGGCCUAACACAUGCAAGUCGAACGGCAGCACAGUAAGAGCUUGCUCUUACGGGUGGCGAGUGGCGGACGGGUGAGGAAUACAUCGGAAUCUACUUUUUCGUGGGGGAUAACGUAGGGAAACUUACGCUAAUACCGCAUACGACCUACGGGUGAAUGCAGGGGAUUUUCGGACCUUGCACGAUUGAAUGAGCCGAUGUCGGAUUAGCUAGUUGGCGGGGUAAAGGCCCACCAAGGCGACGAUCCGUAGCUGGUCUGAGAGGAUGAUCAGCCACACUGGAACUGAGACACGGUCCAGACUCCUACGGGAGGCAGCAGUGGGGAAUAUUGGACAAUGGGCGCAAGCCUGAUCCAGCCAUACCGCGUGGGUGAAGAAGGCCUUCGGGUUGUAAAGCCCUUUUGUUGGGAAAGAAAAGCAGCAGGUUAAUACCCCGCUGUUCUGACGGUACCCAAAGAAUAAGCACCGGCUAACUUCGUG
rnacentral:rRNA from 1 species